GGGGGGGGGGGGGGGGUGGGGAAGGCCGCGCCGCCGAGCUCCGGAGCCGCCGCCGGAUCCCACGCAGCCUCCAGCUGUCGGGGAAACUCCUGCCUGGGCCACGUGACCCGCGCCAGCCAACCAGCAGCCGCGCCGGAGACUUCAAACGCGGCCAGCGCGGCCCAGCACUCGCGGGGAGUUCGCUGACGGCGGCGUGGGGGUGGCCGCCGCAGCCUCCAACGCCGUCGCCGCCUCUCUGCCCCGAGCCGCCCGCUUCCCUUGGGCGUCCCCCGAGCCUCUCUGUCAGGGUUAUCUUCUGCCAUCCCGCCCGAAGCCUGGGCCAAGGUGGGCCGGCUUUCGGAGGUCAGCUCGGCUCCGGACCAGAGUGCGCGGCCGCGGUCUCCAGUUUACAGCCAUUUCUGAGCUUAUUGUACCACGUGUAUUUUUGGCAAGCAUCGCUUCUUACAAUUCAUACCUCGAUGCAGAAACCCGGGAACUGUAAGGAAGGCACACAAGAGAUAUAAGGCCUAGUCUUCAAUCUCUCAGUAAUGCAAUGCGUAGGUUUAGUACAAGAGAAAUGCGGAAUAUUGGAAGAACCCCCACGGAGAUCACCAUCAUCUAACACCGCAGCCAUAAAACAUUUCAGUCCAAACUUAGAAUUCUUGACAUUUGCUAUGGAGAUGAAAAUGUGGGUUUUAAAAGACUAAUUCAGUAAGAUGUAUUUCCUCAUUUAUUCUGGAAUUUUUGGUUGGCUAAGCUUUCACAAGUCAUUUUAAUCUUUGUCCUUUAACUUUAUCAUAACCUUUAGGUAUUAGCAUCCAGCAUUCUAUUGAAGUUAACUACAGUGUCCUUAACAGUCAUUUUUUUAAAAAAGGUAUUAUAAAAUUAUGUAAUUUAAGUAAGAUGUGUUCUUUAGGCUGAUUCUGCAUAAACUUAAGUGUCACUUGGUAUUAUAGCCAUAAAAUGUGCUGAUUACUUAAUUUCUCUGUGGCUUGGUUUCUUCUGCUGUAAAAUGGGCAUUUCUCCUUCCAUUCUUUGGAGGAUUAAAUUAGAAAAUACAUUUCAAGAGCUUAAAAUAGCUCUUGGCACAUAGUAAGCAUUCAACAUAGGAUAUAUGUUAUCAGUAGCAGCAGUUGCAUAAGGAAAAUGAUGGCUUAAUAUAUUGUAAUAUGAAAAUAAAUAAAGGACAUAUUGUUUGCAAUUUAUCUGCCUAAAAUUUGGACAAAAUGUUUUAUAUUUCCUAAUCAAUAAAAAACUUCUUAAAAAUACCUAAUGCACAAUUAAUAUUUAGUGAGCAUUCAGUAAUAUAUAAUUACCACCCCUUAGAAACUCCAGUACUUUGGCCACUUCAUGCAAAGAGUUGACUCAUUGGAAAAGACUCCUGUGCUGGGAGGGAUUGGGGGCAGGAGGAGAAGGGGACGACAGAGGAUGAGAUGGCUGGGUGGCAUCACCGACUUGAUAGACAUGAGUCUGAGUGAAUUCCGGGAAUUGGUGAUGGACAGGGAGGCCUGGCGUGCUGCGAUUCAUGGGGUCACAAAGAUUCGGACAAGACUGAGGGACUGAACUGAACUGAAGCAAAAGAAACAAAAUAAACUUAAAAUGUUAUACAUAAUACAUAAAAUAGGACUUGUUAUCAUCAUACACUUUAUGGUUUAAAAAAAUUUCCCUGAAUUUAGAUGUUCCCUAGAAAAAUCUUCCAUUGUAGAUUAUCACUAUGUUAAAAUCCUUUUAUAACCUAGCUUGUUCAGCACCUAGAUUUGUGUGCUGUGUCAAAUCAUUUCCACUGAAAGUAUACCUUGUCUAAAACAAAAUCUCAUUAAUUUAUUAUUUAAAGUGGUAGGUCAAAUAAUGUUUUCCUGAAAAAGAAAUAUUAUAAUAUUAGGCUAAAAAAGACAUUCAUUUUCCUCACCAACACUCUGAUUUCUGUAUAUUUGUGUUUAGUAAGGCAAGUAAUUCCCAACAUACCGUGGCAGUGUAAUUGGUGUAAUUGUUUCCCCAAAUUUGUACAAGUUCUGACUCAU
rnacentral:lncRNA from 1 species